UAGGGAAUCUUCCGCAAUGGGCGAAAGCCUGACGGAGCAACGCCGCGUGAGUGAUGAAGGUCUUCGGAUCGUAAAACUCUGUUAUUAGGGAAGAACAAAUGUGUAAGUAACUAUGCACGUCUUGACGGUACCUAAUCAGAAAGCCACGGCUAACUACGUGCCAGCAGCCGCGGUAAUACGUAGGUGGCAAGCGUUAUCCGGAAUUAUUGGGCGUAAAGCGCGCGUAGGCGGUUUUUUAAGUCUGAUGUGAAAGCCCACGGCUCAACCGUGGAGGGUCAUUGGAAACUGGAAAACUUGAGUGCAGAAGAGGAAAGUGGAAUUCCAUGUGUAGCGGUGAAAUGCGCAGAGAUAUGGAGGAACACCAGUGGCGAAGGCGACUUUCUGGUCUGUAACUGACGCUGAUGUGCGAAAGCGUGCGGAUCAAACAGG
rnacentral:rRNA from 1 species